rnacentral:rRNA from 1 species
UCUUCCCUCUGGCGGCGUGCCUAAUACAUGCAAGUCGAGCGAACGGACGAGAAGCUUGCUUCUCUGAUGUUAGCGGCGGACGGGUGAGUAACACGUGGAUAACCUACCUAUAAGACUGGGAUAACUUCGGGAAACCGGAGCUAAUACCGGAUAAUAUUUUGAACCGCAUGGUUCAAAAGUGAAGGACGGUCUUGCUGUCACUUAUAGAUGGAUCCGCGCUGCAUUAGCUAGUUGGUAAGGUAACGGCUUACCAAGGCAACGAUGCAUAGCCGACCUGAGAGGGUGAUCGGCCACACUGGAACUGAGACACGGUCCAGACUCCUACGGGAGGCAGCAGUAGGGAAUCUUCCGCAAUGGGCGAAAGCCUGACGGAGCAACGCCGCGUGAGUGAUGAAGGUCUUCGGAUCGUAAAACUCUGUUAUUAGGGAAGAACAUAUGUGUAAGUAACUGUGCACAUCUUGACGGUACCUAAUCAGAAAGCCACGGCUAACUACGUG